AUGGACGUCACCCCCGUCGCCACACGCCUCCGCCGCUCCACCCCCGAGCACGACGCCUACACCGUCCGCGUCGCCGACCGCCGCCUCGUCGCCCUCGCCACCGGCAAUCCGGCCGACGCGCGCCGCUGGAUCUACACCACCCGCUGGCUCCACCAGGCCCUCCUCCGCUCCGACCGCCUCAUCGUCGGCCUCGGCGUCCAGUGGACCCCCGUCCGCGGCCGCGGGGAAGGGCCGCAGGCGCCGCCGCCGGCCACCCUGCAGCUCUGCGCGGGCCACCGCUGCCUUGUCUUCCACCUCGCCCAGGUCGACGCCGAAGCCGUCCCCGCCGUGCUCUACCGCUUCCUCGCCGACCCGCGCGUCGUCUUCGUGGGGUACGGCUCCUCGUACGACCGCCGGAUGCUGUGGGAUCACUACGGCCUGGACGUCGCGUCUUCGUGCGACCUGCGCGCGCUCACCGGCAUGGGGAACGCCUCCGUCGAGCUAAUGGCGCAGCGCUUCCUCGGCUACCGCGGGAUCAGCAAGCCCAGGGACGUGGCCAUGAGCGCGUGGCACGCUCCCAGGCUCUCCGUCGAGCAGGUGGAGUACGCCUGCGUCGAUGCCUACCUCGCCUUCCGCCUCGGCCUC
rnacentral:rRNA from 1 species